CCUGGGAGGGACUCAAUUGUCCCGAUUGCACUCCGGGGCUUUGAUGUCUCCCGGAUUUCGUCCCUGGCUAAGGGACUCCGCGGAGUCUCACUCUCCGGGGGAGCUGCAGGAAACCUUUCAUCCGCCUGUUCCUUCUCUGCAGCUCCCACGACUCACCGCCAGGAGGCGCCGGAGCGCCCCGCACGGGCCCAUGCCGGUCUCCAGCCCCGAGUAGUUCUUCGCCGAGUCCAGGUCUCGGGUCUCCUCCCACAUCUGCCCACCCACAGACUCGGGAGGGUCACUGGUAUCCAGCAGGAGCUGGGGAGGUUCAGCUAAGGGCAGAAAAGCGGAGAGCAACAGACAGCUGACACCUGCCCAUAUCCGCGGGCUAAUCAGCUCCGUCAGCAGCCAGCUGUGCCCUGGGUCUCCAGCUGCAGAAAGACGAGGGAGAUUCAUUCCCUCUGGUUCUCGGGGACCGGAGUAGAAGUUCCGCUCGGUGCAGAGACCCCGAGAUCCUCCCCGCCAGGAUGGGCGCAGCGCCGGGCUCCGUCCUCGUGCUGCUGGCGGUCCUGAGUGCCGCGGGCAGAGCUCAGAUCCUGCAGCCGCCCUCUGCAGAGGCGCCGGAGGGAGCUCCGCUCAACCUCACCUGCUCCCACUCCUCAAUCACGGAUGAAACCGUAUUUUGGUACCGGCAAUUCUCGGACCGUGGCCUCCAGUUCCUCGUGUCCGGGUACACGGGCACCGCCUCUUCCUCCGCCCUGGAGGGGGCUCUGCACAUCUCCGCCGACAGACGGGCCAGCGUCCUGGAGCUCCGCCGAGCCGGGCGGGGGGACGCGGCCGUGUAUUACUGCGCUCUGAGAAACACGGUGCGACAGCCUGAGCCUGCCCCGCACAAGAACUCCCUGCGCCUGGGAGGAGCACACGGUUGGGGUGGGGGAGGGCAGAGGUUGCAGGGGAAGAAAUGCGGGUGGGUAGGAAAGGGGCUGCGGGUCGGGUCUUUUAGGAGAAAAGGCUGGAUUCAGCAAUAGAGCAACGAAAUGGCUUUAAAACCUCAUCGGAGAAGGCUAAUGCUGAAGACUGGUUCCCGACAGGAUUGCUGACGAGCAGGGACUCUGUCGCCAAAACAGACAAGGAAGCAGUGUUAAAAGUAAAAUCUGGCAAUAAAAGUGUUCCCCGCAGAAUGUCCUUCAACAGAUCGAGACACUGAUCUAUCUCUUUUUGCGGUACCGUAUCAAAACACGAGGUUUGUGAUCACGGUCUUCCACAGGUCUCUUUUCUUUCAGGCAUACAGACUUUCCAAUAAGCGGACUUUAAAUUUCCUCUUUCUCCAUAUCCUGCCGGAGAAACUCCCCCUGUCUCUUCCUGAUGGUAAGCAGCAGCUUCCUCACGCAGCCUGCUGUUGACAAAAUAUCUCCACUUGAGCUGUGACUUGUCCAGCAUACCUUCAAGAUGUGCCUUAAGUAUCAUCUCUCAGUCGUUUCAAUUCUGUUUUCCAUGCUUGGCGAUAUUGUCCGGCAUUCUGAUACACACACGAGGACCGGCAUAGCAUAGCAAUCCAAAACUCUUAGCUUCGUCCCUAUAGAAACUUUACUAUCUGUCAAUAUAUUUUUUCAUUUUCCGAAAUGCAUCUUUUGCCAUACCUAUCAUUUGUUCUAUGUCGUGAUCACUUCUACCGUCUGAUGUUAUCCAGCUUCCCACUUAUAUUUGUUGAUCUCCCUUCUCUGUUCCUUAUCUACUUGGAUGUUACAUACAGGAAUUGCCUUCUUCUUCUAUCCUUGAUACUUAGACCCUUCUUCUCGCUUUCACUAACAAUUUUAUCUCAUAUUUCCUGCGGAUUCUCUUCUAGGAAGCACCUAGUAAGACUGUUUCAUCAAUAUAACGCAAGUUGUUCAGAUUCUGAUCGCCACUAUUCAGCCCUGGUAAAUCCUGUCUCCUUCAGUAUUUUCCAUUACCCACGAGCCCAGCACGCCCUGCGCUCCAAAAGCAAGAAAUUGCUACAUCGCUGCAGUGUACAAAUAGAUGGGGUGGGAUAGAAACACCCCCAACAUCCGACCCGGGGCUUUAGGAUCAAAGGAAGGGAGGUGGCUCUACAGGGAGCUCGGAGGAGAACCGCCUCCCGGCCCUACUGGAGGGUGGGAGGUCUGGUCGGAUCCGUCCCUUCCUCCAGUGUUUCUGCAGGAGCCCGGGCCGCUUGCAACGUUCAGCCAAAGUCUGUGAGGUUGACCCAAGUGUCUUAAAGACCCGAAGUGCUGGUGACCCAGAUCAGAAUCCUCCUCCAUAACUUGUGUUUACGCCGACGCUUACGAGAGCGUCCAGUGGGACCGGCAGGUCCCCUUGGAAGAGAUCACCCACCUCCUGACGUUCAGCUUUACUCAGAGUGUCACCCGAGGGGUGGCUCGAGGGUGAAUGGCUGGAGACCCGUCCGAAGAUUUCCUUGCGCCUCGCUGGGACGUGUCUGGCGGACGCCAGCCACGAUUUAUGUGGAGCGGACGCACGCAGGCACGGAGAGAGUCGGGCACUGCCCAACAUCCCCAUCCCCUGGCAGGAAGGCUGCAGUGGCUGACACCACCUCAGCUCAUGGGCUUUUCCAACAAGACCCGGCUAGACCAGAAGGGACGUGCCCAAUAUAAUCCCAUAAGCUAGAGAAACCUCAAAGAAAUGGGUGUCUUUUGCUGGCUCCUUUCCCCCCGGCCACUGUGGAAUAAAUGCUCCCACCCUGAGGAGAUGGGGAUCCCGCAGGUCUAGGCAGCCAUCGAUUCCUAAAGCGGUGCCGGCAGAGCAUCAAUGACCACGUCCUAUGCGAGUCGUGCGUGGCAGGUUCUGCUCUGGUCCUCGUGACACCCCGUCCGGGAAACUCAUCCCUUCUCGUGUGAGUGGGACCGGGGCACUGGAAUCAGUCCAGUGAUCCUGGAAAUUGUCACCUGCAUUUACUAGGAACGAGGAAACGGUGUGGGGGGUAAGACAAGGGGCCGAACAGACUGAUACUGAGAAGAGAAAGGGACCGUAUAAGGAUGCAGUGGGCGCAGUUCAGAGAGAGGAGUUGAAAGGGACUGACUUGGCCCUCCUUGGAGAGCAACAGGAGCUGCUGCAGGUCAAUGGGGUUGUGCUGCCAUCUACCGGUCGCUCCUCUUCUCUAUUGCCGCUGCCCUGCAGGGAAAAGAAUCGGGGCUAGCUGAUCCCCACGCCGGAUCUACUCAGUCACUGUCUAGUAAAGUGGGGAAAGAGAGAGAUGGGGUAAGAAAGAGAGAGAAAGAGA